AGGCAACACUAAACUGACAGCCGAGCAAACAAACGAGCCCGCUUUCCUCGUCUACCUCCCCGGCCUCUGCUCCUCCUCUGCUCUGCCUCGCUCCCCGCAGAACACCGAUGAAACCCUAAUCGGCCUCUCCGAUGCACGCGUCCGCGCGCUUCUCCUCUUCCUUCGCCUCAUCCAGGAAGGCCAUUGCUGACGUUUCUGACGCCGUUGCACGGUCGUCCUAUCGGCCUCUCUGUGGGAAGAAGCAUCUGGGUUCUCCCUCUGCUCAGGAUCCACCCAAGGUCCAGAAGAGAUUAACAAAAGAAGAAAGAAGGGCCAGGGUAGAGGAAUUUGUUGAAAAUUACAGGGCAUCACAUGAAGGAAAAUUUCCGUCUGCUACAUAUGUUCGUAAGCAGGUUGGAGGGUCCUACUACGUAUCAUGGGCAUUACUCCAGGAACUGGAGUACAAUUCGAGACUGAGGAGUGAUGUCAGUGAUGCCUCUUUCAACUCAACCAGAGAUGCCAGGACCAGCUUCGAGGGCAUAAAGGAAGAGACGGAUCUACCCGAAGUCCACAAGAGGAUGACAAAAGAAGAAAGAAGGGCCAGGGUAGAGGAAUUUAUUGAAAAUUUCAGGGCUUCACAUGAAGGAAAAUUUCCACAUGCAACACAUGUUCGUCAGCAGGUUGGAGGGUCCUACUAUACAGUGCUGGCAUUACUCCAGGAAUUGGAGUAUAAUUCAAGACUCAAGAAUGAUGUAAGAAAUGCCUCUUUCAGCUCAGAAAACUUCAAGGAAAAAUACGGGCUCCACAAUAUCGAUCUCUCUCCAAGAGUUGCUACUACCAACUUUCAGGGUGUAAAGGAAGAAACGGCUAAAACCUCGGAACCUCUGGAUCUAAAUACUAAGCCACAACUUCCAGAAUGCCAUGGUAAAGCUGGAGCUGCCAAGCCAAACUUAUCCCCAACAACUUGUUUGGAGGAUAAAAGUGAGCCAAUGGCAUCAGGUCAAACUGAAAACAACAAUGUGGUUAAGGCACAAAACCUCAAGAGCCCUAAGCAUGCGCAUGAAGCAUCGAAGGGGGCAAAUCUGUGGGGCAGCCUGAAAUCCUUUGCUGGUGGACUCAGGAUCUUUUGGAACAGUCUGUAAAUUCAUAUGGUCUGGCUUGCUAGAUGUGAUUACAUAUAGGAUUCACAUUGUUUUAUUAUUCUUUUCAUGACCUGAAACACAAUUGUACAGUACUCCAGGAGGACCAUUCCUUCCAUUUUUCAGAUGAUACUCCUGUCAGUUCUACAAGUCACAGUAGAAGUUGGAGUACUCUGUUUAUCGACCCCUUCAUCCAGUAUGCCUGUGUCAAGAUUAAAUAGAUUUUUCCUUGAUGUUUUACAGACUUGAUUGCUCAUGUUGUUUUACAUUCAUGUCUGGAUGCUCUGCUACCCACAUAUUGUGUACAUUGGGUUCAGAAUGACGCAUAUCAGAGUGAGCUUAUUUCAUUUCAGUCUGUAUGUAGU
rnacentral:rRNA from 1 species